AACUUCAGCUUUUCUAUCUGAAGCUACCCAAUGGAUUGCAAACUUUCACGUGUCUUGAAGAGUUGCAAAUAACGAGAUGCCCUAAACUUGAGUCAUUUUCAGAUUCGGGUUUGCCGCUAAUGCUAAGAAAGCUUGUGGUGGAUGAGUGUGAGAGUCUAAAAUGGCUGCCUCGUAACUACAACUCAUGUGCCCUUGAAUCCCUAGAGAUACUUAUGUGUCCAUCUCUCGUAUGCUUUCCAAAUUCUGAGCUUCCAACCACACUCAAGAAUAUAUAUAUUCAAGGUUGUGAAAAUCUAACGUCUCUACCAGAGGGAAUGAUGCACCACAAUUCCACUUGUUGUCUUGAAAAUUUGAUCAUUGAUUAUUGUCCCUCUCUCAAGUCCUUUCCAACAGGGGAGUUACCCUCCACCCUUAAAAACCUUGCCAUUUCCGUUUGCUCCAACUUGGAGUCGAUGUCAGAGAACAUGUGCCCCAACAAUUCAGCUCUUGACUCUUUAUACCUUGUGCGUUAUCCAAAUCUGAGAACCCUACCAGAAUGCCUGCACAAUCUCAAGAAUCUCAAAAUAAUUGACUGUGAAGGUCUGGAGUGCUUUCCAAAAGGAGGCUUGUCCGUCCCCAACCUCACACGCCUUUGUAUCGCUCAAUGUCGGAAUCUGAAAUCUGUGUCACAUCAGAUGACAAACCUCAAAUCUCUUCAACUGCUGAGAAUAAGUGGCUGUCCAAGAGUGGAGUCCUUUCCAGAAGAGGGUUUAGCCCCUAACCUGACAUCACUUAAGAUUGAUGACUGUAAGAAUCUGAAAACGGGCAUAUCUGAGUGGGGCCUCCACACCCUCACCUCUCUUUCGUCAUUGACUAUUAAGAAUAUGUUUCCUGAUAUGGUUUCCUUUCCAGAUGAAGUGUUCUUCUUCCCAUUUCUCUCACCUCCAUUACAAUCAAUGCAAUGGAAUCCCUAGCCUCCUUGGCUCUCAGAAACCUCAUCUAUCUUCAAGUCCUAGAGAUAUCAAAUUGCCCUAACAUCUGCUCUUUAGCGUCGUUGCCUGCAACACUUGAAAGACUUCAAAUCCAGAAUUCUCCUAUACUAAAAGCAAGGUGCUCAAAGGAGAAAGGAGAAUAUUAGCCCAACAUUGCCCACAUCCCCAACAUUUGGAUAGUUGGAGAAUAGAUAUUGAGGCAGAAACUUGUAGGCGGAGGCAUUACGUUUCAUCCAUUCUUACAUUCAGUCAGUUUGAUCUUAAGAAGAUUGGAGUAGGCAGGAGUGAAAACCUUCUGGUUGACUUUGGAUUUGAACUAUAGUAUCUCAAGGAAGGUGCCUAUACAUAGGUUGAUUUCCUGAUUUCAGUCCUGAAGAAGGCUGCCAACAAUGCUAAGGCUUAUCACCAGUUCUAAAAGACAGGCGCUUAAAAACGAGAGAGGAAUUCUGGCCCCACAUUGCUCAAGUCCCCUGCAUGGAUGUAGAUUCCGAAUUUUGUUGAUUAACUAUCACAACUUGAGAUUGAACUUCAUUUAUGUAUGCUGAAGCAUGGGAUCAAAGACCAUUCAACCCUGUCCCAUCCUUAGUUUCAAUCAGGUAUGGACUUCUAAUUAUUAAUGCAAUUUUCCAUAAUCAAGAAGAUGUAAGCAAAGACCACUUCUCCCUAGUGCCUCCUUAUUUUGGAUUAGGUAUGCCCUCCCAUUUUCAUUGACCCAAUAUCAGUUUUAGUGUUAGCCAGUUAUAAAAAUUUCUUGUUUACAAGUGGUAACUAGAAGGAAAAAAAUGGCAUGCAUGAAAUCUAAGGUUUCUUAAUCAUAACCGGUUCCUAUUCACAUUUGGUUGUAUGUUCUCAAUCACAAAAGUAGAUCAUUGUUUUUUUGCAUUUUCAUUUUUAUUUUUAUUUUUAUUUUUUGAAGUAAAUAUUACAGGUUGCUCUGACUUGUUAGCUGAUAUGCUUCAUUUUAAAAAAAUUCUUCUCUAUUUAGGAAGAAGGAAAAAAUGCAGGUGGAAUCAAAAGCUUUUCAAUAAUAAGUUUGUGGUCUAUUCAGAUCAAUGAUAUGGAAAGUAUCCCCUGCUUUUAGAUAGAUGGGAAUAUAUGCUUUGAAGUAUAAUAACUAGAAAUAGAAAUACAUUUUGUGGGUACCAGAAAAGAAACAGAAGCAGAAAGCCAUUCAACCCCCAAUCCUUGCAGGUACAAUAUUACUACCAUUUUCCUAUCCUUUCCUUACUUUUAUUAUACUUAGGGAUAGCUUUAUUGUGUGUACAACGUCAACCUUGUUUUCUCCUGGGACCAUCAAAUUGGAUCAAAGGCACCAUGCCAUUGAGUUACCAAAUUCAGCCUCUUUCCUUUGUCAUUUUUUUUUUUUUCUUUUAAAUGAUAUUUUCAGCUUUCUAAUUUUUAAAGCCAUUGUCUUGGAUUUGGUUCGGAAGUAGUAAAAUUAUAAAAAAAAAAAAUUAUUUCUUUUUCUGCAUGCUAUUAUAUUUAGUGGACUUAGAUAUGGAUAUCUAGAUGUGAAUUGCUAUUCCAAUAUUAGAGUAGCUUAGUAGAGAAAAAAUAAACUGAAAAUUUGACAAAUGAAACAAUUUUCUUUUUAAUGAAGACAGAAACCUUUUUGAAUGAUUGAAGUACAUUCACAUGGGUCCUGCUUUGACAAGGAUGAGGCAGGUACAUAGGGUGAAGAAAAAGAUGAGAGAUGUUCCAUUCCCUAAUUAAGAAAUGAAAGUAAGCAAUUAGUUAUAUCUACCCAUUUAGCUCUCUUCCAACUUCAUUGACCCAAUAUCAAAAUGUAGAAAGGGAAAAAAUUUGUGUAGAUUAAAUGAAGAAAUUUAUAAACAUAAUUGCAGCCUGUUCACAUAUUGGUAUAUUUGUUACUUCUCCUUUGGAUGAAAUUUUUUCUUUUUGUUCUUGUGUAAGCCGAUCAACUUCAUUUUUCAUGCUAAUUAUUUCUAUCACCAGUGCAUUUUGUUCAUCCUCCUGCUCUCAUCCUUUGCUUCACUAUAUAUAUAUAUAAAGAGAAAGUUGUCAUUCUGUAAUUUUUUUGCAGCAUGAUUUACUUUUGACUCUACAGUCCAAACCACAGCUUAUGAUUGUUCUACAGCAAAACAAAUAUAGUUUCAUGCCGCAAUUUUUUAUGGGUUAUCUUUUGCUAGUUCUCAAUUUCAUGCACUCUUUUUAAUUACACAAUUACAUAUUUAGAUCCGUGAGACUGGCGUGGUAUCUCAAAUUAACAGAACUUCAUUAUUCGGAUAUACUACAUUGAUAAGGUCACAGUUAACUAAUUUGAAGGUCAAUUUAUGUUUAGGUUAUUAAUAAUUUUAUCUUGGUUUCAGUUUGAUCUAAAGAAGAUUGGGGUAGGUAGGAACAAAAACCUUCUGGUUAACUUUGGAUUUGAAGUGCAGUAUCUCAAGAAACAUGUGAGAAUCUGAAAAUGCCCAUAUCUGAGUGGGGCCUCCACACCCUCACCUCUCUUUCCAAAUUGAUUAUUGAGGAUCUCUUUCCAGGUAUGGUUUCCAUCUUGGAUGAAGAGUGUCUUCUUCCUACAUCUCUCACUUCUCUUGAAAUCAGGAGAAUGGAAUCCCUAGCCUCCCUAUCUCUCCAAAACCUCAUAUCUCUCCGUUAUUUUUAUUUUUGUUAUUUUUUUUUUACUUUUGUUCAUUAUUUAUUUUUUUCUUUUCCAUUUUUACAUUCAUUGUCAAGGUUGAUCCUUGCAUGUUUAGGUCCUGUAAUUUCUGGAAGGGGGGUUUGGCCCCAUGGUAGCUUCAGUUUGGGUUCAAUUCUUGAUGCACAUGUGUCUGAGUAGCACUGGUCCACUAGGCCUUUACAGAUGAUGAAAUCAUGCUGCCAGUCCUCUAACUUGAAGAAGGGUUGCAUGUGACACCCAAUGCUUGAAAUCCAGAUCAAUUUUCCUGUACUAGGACAAAGUUGCUUAAAGGAGAAAGGAGGAAGUUUGGCUUAGGGUUGCCUACAUCUCUGACAUUCAACAACAUGACUUCAUUGGAAAAUAUGAAUUUAUAUUGAAUUGUGUUUUGCCCACUUUGGAAGUUGAGAGGGAGAUCACUCCUCUUUCCUUCACCCAGUUAUGCUUGACUAACCACGGAUGUAGAACCGUCUUUUUUAUUGGUCAAUAAUAGGGUUCACUUCUAUAAUUAACAGAAACUUCUUUUCUACAUGUAGGAGAGGGAUAAAAUGAGAGGAAUUUUGAGACUUAUGGCUCUCUAAGAAGAACUCAACUCAAUGGAUGUCUGUGCUGUGCUUUUUUAGUUUUAGUGGCUUAAGAAAAAUUAGCUGUCUCUGAUUUUGGAACUUGAUGUAUAUAAUGUAAGAAGUUUGAAGCUUGUUUCUUGAUCCUUAGACAAUUGUAGCAAAUGUUUCCAUAGGAUUUGUUUCUUUAGUUUGAUGAUUUAAACAUUUUUAUUUUCUCAAAAGUUGUAAUACCUCAAGUCCUUUUUUUUUUUUCCUUUUCCUUUCUUCUUAAAAAGAAAAUUGUGAGAACAUUGUAAUUUGCUUUUUACUAUAGUGGAUUAUUUCUAUGAUUGCCC